rnacentral:rRNA from 1 species
UAGGGAAUCUUCCGCAAUGGACGAAAGUCUGACGGAGCAACGCCGCGUGAGUGAUGAAGGUUUUCGGAUCGUAAAACUCUGUUGUUAGGGAAGAACAAGUUGGGUAGUAACUGACCCAACCUUGACGGUACCUAACCAGAAAGCCACGGCUAACUACGUGCCAGCAGCCGCGGUAAUACGUAGGUGGCAAGCGUUGUCCGGAAUUAUUGGGCGUAAAGCGCUCGCAGGCGGUCUUUUAAGUCUGAUGUGAAAGCCCACGGCUUAACCGUGGAGGGUCAUUGGAAACUGGAGGACUUGAGUACAGAAGAGGAGAGUGGAAUUCCACGUGUAGCGGUGAAAUGCGUAGAGAUGUGGAGGAACACCAGUGGCGAAGGCGACACUCUGGUCUGUAACUGACGCUGAGGAGCGAAAGCGUGGGUAGCGAACAGG